rnacentral:rRNA from 1 species
GCCCGAUGAACCUGAAUAUCCGUUAUGGAAAAUUCAUCAUUAAAAUUGUAAUAUUUAAAUAAUAUUAUGAGGAUAGUGUGCAUUUUUUCCAUAUAAGGACAUUGUAAUCUAUUAGCAUAUACCAAAUUUAUCAUAAAAUAUAACUUAUAGUUUAUUCGAAUUAAAUUGCUUGCAUUUUAACACAGAAUAAAUGUUAUUAAUUUGAUAAAGUGCUGAUAGAUUAAUAUGAUUACAGUGCGUUAAUUUUUCGGAAUUAUAUGAUGGCAUAAUUAUCAUUGAUUUUUGUGUUUAUUAUAUGCACUUGUAUGAUUAACAAUGCGAAAGAUUCAGGAUACUUCGGG